UGCCCAAGAGAUCGGGAUAACACCUGGAGACAGAUGCUAAUACCGGAUAACAACAGAUGAUGCCUAUCAACUGUUUAAAAGAUGGUUCUGCUAUCACUCUUGGAUGGACCUGCGGUGCAUUAGCUAGUUGGUAGGGUAACGGCCUACCAAGGCGAUGAUGCAUAGCCGAGUUGAGAGACUGAUCGGCCACAUUGGGACUGAGACACGGCCCAAACUCCUACGGGAGGCAGCAGUU
rnacentral:rRNA from 1 species